UCUUCAUUACCUACGACAAAUGUAAUCCCAUUAAUGGGUACUUGGUAAUAAAAUAAAGCAUGUUUUAUGUACCAGGUAGAAUUUUUAUGCAAUCAUUAUUGUGCAAUCGAGUUAAGACUUUGCUUGCAUAUAUUGCAGACAUGGAUUGAGUUUGAAUGUGAAAACUACUGUAUACAUAGUGGUGCUUAUGUCCAUUGGUUUCCAAGACCAGACAACAGAGUGAUGAGGGAACCAGCUAGGAAACAGAUGGAGAUGAAAGACUGUAGCCUGCUGAAUCCAUGCAGCUGUAUUGGUUCCAGCUGAAGGCUUCGGUACACCUGUCCCCAUCCCACUGGAAGCAUCAAGUGUGAAUCAUACCACUCAACAGUUCUCAACAAGGCCCAAAGAAAAUAAUGUAUAUCCAAAACAACAUGUUUUGUCAGGGUUUACCAGAAGUAUAUCAAAGACAACAGAAGCUAACAUUUAUUGUGUGUUUACCAACAAAUGACAAGCUCCUAUUAAGAUGUGGAUGAAGCAGCAAAUUAAUGGAGCCCAGAAGAGACAUAAUGCACCAGUGUGUCUAUAAUGGUGUAAUUCAAGAUAAGACAUUCCAGAAAUGUUUCCUAGCAUAAAUGCUUAGAAAUCUUU